UCUCCCAACUCGUCACUCGUCAAGCAGAGGAUCAUAAGACCAUUAACCAGUCCCUCAAUAACUCAAGCAACCUCACAACCUCAUCCUUACAAAUAAACCAUUCGAGCCAUGAUGGCCGACAGACAAUAUUCUCCAUCUCCCCUUUCCAAACAGAACAUCAAGCUCAUCACUUCUCGGCUCGGCAACGUCGCCAACUCGUUGGAGUAUCUUGGCCUUUCCUGACACUCGCAUGCUACACCCUCAACCCUACAUGGUCUCUAGGCUAAGAUUUCAUGGAGCACGGAGAGCGAAAGGAAAGAAGAUAAUCCGUAUCCAUUAACGAAACGCAUCCAUUCAGCUGGAUACCUACGAACUUAUAUUUCUCAACAAUCUGUUGGUCGUAAAUGUUGUUAAGCAGAAAUAGGGAGGAAAUAUGCGGUGUACGUCAAUUAGUUGCGCCUUAGCUGAGUAUGUCAGGCCCUUUACUUUGUAAAUAAUCAGAAGCAACUUUGCCUAGGAAACGGAGAAGAAACGUCUUGAUGUAAUGCGACAUGUCAUUUUGCACCGUUUGACACU
rnacentral:sRNA from 1 species